AUAAGCGUCAGGUCUACCUAAGCGAUAGAGAUCAGAGUUUUCAAAGAAAAUGGCGGCAAGUAGCAAUGCACUGUUCAAAUUGCUACGGGAAGUGGCAGAUCUACUAGAGAGUUUCAGAUAACGGCUUCACUGGGACUGAGACACACAGGUCACGCCUUCUUCACUGGGACUGAGACACACAGGUCACGCCUUCUUCACUGGGACUGAGGAACAGGGGCCAUGCCUCCUUCACUGGGACUAAUUCAGCCAUGGGACUGAGGGACAGAGGCCAUGCCUUCUUCAAUGGGACUGAGGGACAGAGGCCACACUAACACUGACAGAUGCUGAGGCCACACCCCUUUCACUGGGACUGACAGAAAUAGAGAUCAUACCUUCUUCACAAGGACUGACCACAUCACCUUCAUUUAUUGGGACUGACAGCCACUGGAGAGAGUGAUCCUCAGCAUCCACAUUGUGGAAGGCCUCACCUGGACAUCCAACACCAGCUCCUUGGCCAAGAGAGCACAACAGCAUAACCUCUGGUGCCUGAAGAAGACAAACAUCCCCCCAAAUCCCCCUGGCACUACAGGGAGUGUCCGGACCAGGUGCAGCACUGUCUGGGUUGGGACUUGCAGCAUCUCUGACCCUACAGAGGAUAAUGUGGACAGCUGACCGCAUCAUCAGCACAUAUCUACCCCCUGUUUAGGACACUGACGCAGCAUCCUUAAGGCCUCCAGCAAUAUGGACAAUCCCUCCCACAAUGUAUUUGCAACUAUUCCAUCUGGAAGAAGGUUCUGCAGCAUCUGCUCAAGCACUGCCAGACUGGGUAACAGCUUCUACCCCCAGGCUGUCAGACUCCUGAAGACUGUGCUCCCCCUCCCUACACACAUCACCCUGAGAUCCAACUAACACAUCACAACCAUUACUGUAGUUACACAUUAUACUUUACAUUACAUUUCCAUUCUAGUCACAGAUAUGAACCUUAUGGUUACUGUAAUGUCAUAUUAUUCUGUUUAGAUGGUCUAUUUUGUUAAAUGAAAGUAUAUGCCACCCCUGUGUGUACUCACCCCCACUUUUUCCCAUACCACCUCUCUGCUUGUUUCUUGUUCCUGUAGCACUUUAAUUAUGUCCUGUCAGCACUGUGGAUUUCAAACAUGUAUCUUGCACCUUGGGUCCAGGAGUAAACAGGCCCAAACCAUGAU
ensembl:lncRNA